rnacentral:sRNA from 1 species
UUUCCGUAGGUGAACCUGCGGAAGGAUCAUUACAGUGCCAGCGGGAGCACCGCGGCCGUCCCUACCCGGGGCGUGUCCGAUCGGUGCCUCGCGCCCGGCCCCACACUUGUCUACCGACCGCGUUGCCUCGGCGGGCCCGCCGCUUAGUCGGCCGCCGGGGGAUGGUUAACACCUCCCCUGGCCAGCGCCCGCCGGAGGACCGUAUUCGAAAUUCUUUUUUUUUAAUCGAGUUAUAGUCUGAGCGAUAAUCGCAGAAUGAAUCAAAACUUUCAACAAUGGAUCUCUUGGUUCCGGCAUCGAUGAAGAACGCAGCGAAAUGCGAUAAGUAAUGUGAAUUGCAGAAUUCCGUGAAUCAUCGAAUCUUUGAACGCACAUUGCGCCCCCUGGUAUUCCGGGGGGCAUGCCUGUCCGAGCGUCAUUGCAACCCUCAAGCACGGCUUGUGUUAUGGGUGUUCUCGUCCCGAGUCUUCAGUGGACGCACCCGAAAUGCAGUGAUCGCGGCCGCGAUACCGGCGCCCGAGCGAAUGGGAAUUUCAUACCACCGCUCAGUGGGCCCGGCCGGCUGUAUUGGUCCUACAACCCAUCUUCUUAGGUUGACCUCGGAUCAGGUAGGGAUACCCGCUGAACUUAA